CUCUUAUUAAAAACCGUUGAGACGAGGGGUCUAAGAUACGGUGGCAAACCAAACUGAUAUUUAUCAGUUCAUGGGGCUCAACCUGAGCACAAAAUGUACAAAGUUUUGUGAACGAUAAGAG
rnacentral:ncRNA from 1 species